rnacentral:misc_RNA from 1 species
GAUGAUAUGCUUUGAGGCAAUCCCUAAAUACAGCACACAAUAACAUGUUUAUCUUAAAGAUUAUCCACAAUGUCCACAUACAGCACCAACCUUAACCUAAGACAAGUUAAAAUUCUAAAGGAUUAUUGAUAAAAUAAUAUAUGACAUAGCAAACUUAUAGCAUGUGUGAUGGUUUCCAGCUAAUAUCCAUGACCUAAGAGACGUUUUCAGUUGAUUUGAUAGAUAAGUUACCAUUAAAAGAAGUCCCAUUUGUAAGAACAGUUUUG